GCCCUGGGCUGAAGACUCUUUUCAAAAUAAGCAGGAUGCCCUUUUUCCUGAGGCGACUUCUGAUCUUCCUGCUGAGAUUCAGGAACCCGCACUUGGCCAAGUUCAUGGAGAAGAGCUAUGGCCUGGGGUCGGUCAAGAAGCUCUGGGAGCAUCAGAU